UAAUUCUUAAAUUUUAAAAAUUACUACUUUAAAAAAAAAUCACGGAACGGGUAAAGAAAUUACAUAACGGGUUUUAUUUUGGAAUUGGGUUAUAUGGUGGAUGUAUUUGAAUUAAUAUUU
rnacentral:sRNA from 1 species